rnacentral:rRNA from 1 species
GAAGCGGGAAGAGCUCAUGUUGUAAAUCUCCAGCUUGCUGGCGAAUUGUAGUCUAAAGGUGCGUGCUCAGUCGUGGUCCCGGGCUAAGUCUGUUGGAAAACAGCAUCAUGGACGGUGACAAUCCGGUUCUUGCCUGGGGUCCCGCGGCGUACGAGCCGUUUCCGACGAGUCGUGUUGCUUGGGAUUGCAGCACUAAGUGGGUGGUAAAUUCCAUCUAA